rnacentral:lncRNA from 1 species
AUAAGCAUAGAGUCUAAUAACAUAUCUCAGUAAUAAUAAAAGUAGCAAAUUAUAAGAUAAUGGAAAUGCUUUAAAAUGAUUAGAAAAUCAAAAUGGAUGAGAACCUAAGCGGUGAGCACGACGGCUCCGCCAGCCUCCUUGAUCUUCUUCUCGGCGGUCUUAGAAAUCAGCUUGGCCUUCACAACCAACGGCUGAGAGCUAGGCAACACGCCCUUACCCAACACCUUGAAGUAGCCGAACUGGGUGACGUCAAGCAAUGGGGCCUCGUUUCCUUUGGCGGCCUUGUCCUUCACAUCCUGGGGUACAAGUGACCACAGCUUGUCGAGGUUGACGAUGGGGCAGUGGAACUUGUUGCGCAGCCUGUGGAAGUACCUCAUACCGACUUUACCAAAAUACCCCGGAUGGUACUUGUCGAAGAGGAUCCGAUGGUGGUGCAUACCUCCGGCGUUUCCGCGACCGCCUGGAUGCUUGCGGUGCUUGCCGAUACGCCCAUGCCCGGCGCUGACGU